GGGUUGUGAGGUUAAGCGACUAAGCGUACACGGUGGAUGCCCUGGCAGUCAGAGGCGAUGAAGGGCGUGCUAAUCUGCGAUAAGCGCCGGUAAGGUGAUAUGAACCGUUAUAACCGGCGAUACCCGAAUGGGGAAACCCAGUGUGACUCGUCACACUAUCAUUAACUGAAUCCAUAGGUUAAUGA
rnacentral:rRNA from 4 species